rnacentral:rRNA from 1 species
AGGACGAACGCUGGCGGCGUGCUUAACACAUGCAAGUCGAGCGGAAAGGCCCUUCGGGGUACUCGAGCGGCGAACGGGUGAGUAACACGUGAGUAAUCUGCCCCUAGCUCUGGGAUAGCUCCGGGAAACCGGGAUUAAUACCAGAUACGACCACUUUAGACAUCUGCUGUGGUGGAAAGAAUUUCGGCUAGGGAUGAGCUCGCGGCCUAUCAGUCUUGUUGGUGAGGUAACGCUCACCAAGGCGACGACGGGUA